GCGACUGCUGCGGUGGACUUCACCAAGAAGGUACACAAGAGCCUUGGAGACUGCAACCCCUAAAGAAAGCCCGACCCAAGAAGGGUGGGGAAGUCCUUGGAGCCAUCCACCCUGGAGUUCCUCCAGACCACUUCUGGGUAUAGCUGGUCUCAAAAGGACCCUGAGAAUCUUUUGUGGCUGAGCAAUUAAGUUCGGGUUUCCCUGGGGCAGACAGGAACCAUAGGACAAUGCCUCUGGCUGUUCAGAUUUCACCUCCAGCCCCACAGAUGAGUCACCUGGAGCCAGCUGCUCCUGUGGCCUUGCUUUCUCUAGCUAAGGAGCCUGCCGCUGUACAGACUCCAAUAGAGGUACUGCCAGAGCACAAACCCCAAAGAACAGUGGUUCUCAAAUGUGGCCAUGCAUCAGUCAUCUGGGUAAAAUUCAGAUUGCUUGGCCCCACCCCAAAGAUUCAGCUGGUGUGGAUUGGGGCAGAGAGUUUGUAUUUCUUACAAGUUCCCAGAGGCUGUUGGUACCACUGGCCUGGGACCACCCUUUUUGAAAGCUGUCCCUGUCCUAUUUUUGAAGAACUUGUAAUGCAACAUGGUUGCAUAAUGGCUUAUGUUUUUAUGUUGCAGGAUCAUGCUGCCACCUGGGGACGACCCUUUUUCGUUUUCAGGGUAUAGCAUGUUUUCUCACCUUUGCUUUCUAACCUCGAUUCACUGCAGCCAUCCCAGUCAUGGAGUGACUGCAAAGAGCAAAGCCAGGACCCCUUGGUGAACUGGUGGAUAAUUGUGGGGACUCUCUCACCCUUCACUGGAUAUCACUCCAAGUCAAAGUCUCCUCCUACAAGCUUGUAAAGGCAAGGGUCCAACAGGAGAGAGGCUGAGAGCACCAGAGUAGGCGUAAGGGAGUUCCGUUGACAGACAGACACAGGGUACACCAGAAUCUGAGCCCAUGUUUUAGAGCAUUAGGGUCCAAGAUUCGUGGCCCCAAAAACACAUGGCAGGAGGAGCUUAGGCACCAUGCUCUCCUACUUCCUGGGUGACAGAGAUUCUUGCAAAGGUCACAGAGUCAAAAGAGUUAUCUUUUAGAUUUUGAUCGGCCGUUCACUAGCUGUGCUUCACUCUUGAGAUUCUUAGUAUUUGCAUAGAAGAAUGAGCAACUCAGACUAGAUCCAUGCCCCCAGAAACUGCAUUAUGUGAAUCACUGGUGCUAAAAGGUACUCUGCAAAAGUCAGAUGAGACUGGAAAAACUGCAGCCAACAUUCACAAAGACUCACAGUACACACUGGCCCAUCACAGGCUCAAGAAGUCCUGCAGAACACAGCCUGUGUCUCUUGGCUUGAUCAUUUGUUUCCCAAACAUAUGGACCAUGGAGCUGCUUCCCACCCCUCUCUCACUCCCAUGGGUCUGUAUGACCUACUUGUUUCCUGGAAAGUGCUUUGAGAAACUCCAUAACGUCUCCAGACUGGGCAGUCCUAUGCUGCAUGGUUUGUGGAACCUCCUACCAUGUAAGCAAAGGCUAAAGGGUGGGGGUGAUGGGUAAGUGACAGUGUUGGGGUCCUAGGAGCAGCAAGGCUCCUGAAGCACUGUCCCAGAGAACCGACAGGCUAGUACUAGCACAGGGCAAGAGUUUCCCAGGUGAGUCCCCAUGGAGGGGAGUGAAAUCCCAGUUAGAAGAAUGAGGCCUUAGGGUUCAGGAGAGAGAAGAGCUAAAUCAAGAUACAGGCUGCAGAAAGUUUUGUCUCACUAUCUGUAAGUUGCUCCUUUCUUUUUCCAGCCCAGGAAUGGAAGAAACAUUGAAGAUGAGGCCCAGUAGGUAGUCCAAGGAUUCAACGGUGAAAGCAAGCUGGAUCUGAUGAGGCUGUCCAGGGAUUAUGUUGAACAAAAAUCAAACUUCUUUCCACAAACAUUUAAAGAUAUUUCUCUUGCUCUGUAUUCACUAGAUAUUUAGCUUUAUAAAAAUAAAGUAUCAUUGUGUGAUAUUGUGAAAUAGA